AGUGAACGCUGGCGGUAGGCCUAACACAUGCAAGUCGAACGGCAGCACAGGAGAGCUUGCUCUCUGGGUGGCGAGUGGCGGACGGGUGAGGAAUACAUCGGAAUCUACUUUUUCGUGGGGGAUAACGUAGGGAAACUUACGCUAAUACCGCAUACGACCUACGGGUGAAGCAGGGGACCUUCGGGCCUUGCGCGAUUGAAUGAGCCGAUGUCGGAUUAGCUAGUUGGCGGGGUAAAGGCCCACCAAGGCGACGGUCCGUAGCUGGUCUGAGAGGAUGAUCAGCCACACUGGAACUGAGACACGGUCCAGACUCCUACGGGAGGCAGCAGUGGGGAAUAUUGGACAAUGGGCGCAAGCCUGAUCCAGCCAUACCGCGUGGGUGAAGAAGGCCUUCGGGUUGUAAAGCCCUUCUGUUGGGAAAGAAAUCCAGCUGGCUAAUACCCGGUUGGGAUGACGGUACCCAAAGAAUAAGCACCGGCUAACUUCGUGCCAGCAGCCGCCGUAA
rnacentral:rRNA from 1 species